GCCAGGCAUGGUGGUGGAUGCCUGUAAUCCCAGCUACUUGGGAGGCUGAGACAGGAGAAUCACUUGAACCCGGGAGGUGGAAGUUGCAGUGAGCUGAGGCUGCACCACUGCACUCCAGCCUAGGUGACAAAGUGAGACUCUGUCUCAA
rnacentral:sRNA from 1 species